rnacentral:rRNA from 1 species
AUUGAACGCUGGCGGCACGCCUAACACAUGCAAGUCGAGCGGCAGCGAGACUAGUAGCAAUACUAGUUGUCGGCGAGCGGCGGACGGGUGAGUAACACGUAGGAAUCUGCCCUUAAGCGGGGGAUAACCAAGGGAAACUUUGGCUAAUACCGCAUAAUCUCGAGAGAGCAAAGCUGCCCGCAGGGGUGGCACUUGAGGAGGAGCCUGCGUCCGAUUAGCUAGUUGGUGGGGUAAUGGCCUACCAAGGCGAUGAUCGGUAACUGGUCUGAGAGGACGACCAGUCACACUGGGACUGGGACACGGACCAGACUCCUACGGGAGGCAGCAGUGGGGAAUAUUGGACAAUGGGGGCAACCCUGAUCCAGCGAUGCCGCGUGAGUGAAGAAGGCCUUCGGGUCGUAAAGCUCUUUAGGCUGGGAAGAAGGGUAUUGGCUGAAUAAUCCAGUACUUUGACGGUACCGACAGAAGAAGCACCGGCUAACUCCGUGCCAGCCGCCGCGGUAAUAC